CCAUAUCACUUUGCAACACCGGUUCUCAUAUGAUCACCAAAGUUAAGCAACGCUGAGCCUAGUCAGUACCUUUAUGGGUGACCGCUCGAGAAUAUCAGUUGCUAU